UACGGAAGGCAGCAGUGGGGAAUAUUGCACAAUGGGCGAAAGCCUGAUGCAGCUAUGCCGCGUGUAUGAAGAAGGCCUUAGGGUUGUAAAGUACUUUCAUCGGGGAGGAAAAACAAAACUAAUAAUUUUAUUUCUUGACGUUACCCGAAAAAGAAGCACCGGCUAACUCCGUGCCAGCAGCCGCGGUAAUACGGAGGGUGCUAGCGUUAAUCAGAAUUACUGGGCGUAAAGAGCACGUAGGUGGUUUUUUUAAGUCAGAUGUGAAGUCCCUGGGCUUAACCUGGAACUGCAUUUUGAAACUGAAAUACUAGAGUAUCGUAGAGGGAGGUAGAAUUCUAGGUGUAGCGGUGAAAUGCGUAGAUAUCUGGAGGAAUACCUGUGGCGAAAGCGGCCUCCUAAACGAAUACUGACACUGAGGUGCGAAAGCGUGGGGAGCAAACAGGGAUUAGAUACC
rnacentral:rRNA from 1 species